AAGGAGGCAAUGGAGAGCAGCAAACAGUGGCGGUCCCUGGCUGCUGCAUCGAGGGCCAACACCGUCGUCUUCCCGGCACCGAUGACUGCAGCCUACACAAGGCCUCCAAAAGAGGAACUCGUGGCAGCACGAAUGUCCAGGUUCGGCCACAGUCCCCAGUAACGGCAUCAAAUCCCUGGUCGGGACUUCCAUGCUGCCACAGGACGUACGGCGAAUGCAAGCAGACAGACCCAAGAGAAAACAGCCGAGCUGCAAAAUGGUUCACCAUUUUCCAUUAGGACACCCUGAGCGACAGGCCUAAUCAAGCUGGUCAUGGCAUGCCUAUCUCAAAAGAGGGCAAGGAACUUUAGCCGG